rnacentral:lncRNA from 1 species
UAAUUACAAUUUGAUUAUGGUAUAAGUCCUAUAGUUAAAAAUAAUAAUUUCUUAAAUUUAGACAUUGCAUUUUUCUCUAAUAAAGAUCCUAAAUGCAUAUCUUAACAAACAUAUACAGUUCUUAUUUACUAUAUCAUAGCAUAAAUCUUUUCUACAUUUUGGUUUCCAAACCAUCAAAUACAUCUUUAAUACACAGCAGUAAAAAAAAAACUUUAAUUUUAUUGAAUUUUCAAUUUGAUUGUAAAAAAAUUUCACAAAUGAAUAUAUAUAUAUAUAUAUAUAUAUAUAUAUAUACUUAUUUCUUAAGAAAAUACAAAAAUAAAAAAUAAAAAAUAUCCAAAAUUUUACAAGAUUUCUACAACACAAAUUAAUUGAUUUUAAAAAACAUAUUUAUCACAGUUUUUCACAAACUAAUUUAUAUUCUAAAAAAAAUCGUAAUGAUCAAACAAAUAUAAGAUACUAUGUGUAGAAGUGUAUAAGGGAUUUUCUUCUUAUCUUUUUCCUUCUCUCUCUC